UCUUGAGAGACUCUUGAAGUGC
rnacentral:miRNA from 1 species